rnacentral:tRNA from 1 species
GCCCGUCUAGCUCAGUUGGUAGAGCGCAAGGAUAUUAACCUUGUGGUCGUGGGUUCCAGCCCCACGGUGGCCG